GGAAGGGUCGCUCAGCGGUAGAGCACCGCGGUGCCCCCGCGGCGGCCUCACGUGCCUCGUGGCGUUCGAAUCCCACCCCUUCCG
rnacentral:tRNA from 1 species